AAAAUAUGGAGAGUGAGGUCUCAGAGGAGGAGACAGAAAAGGAUUCAUCUUUCUGCUCUUUUUCUUCAGACUCUUCAAGAUCCAGAAGGAUCGAGACAGAUGUUGAAGAAUCUGGUGGUGAAAGUGCACUCCAAGGUACUUUAUCGCCUAUUAGAAGACGGGGAGUACUGUCUGAAAAUGAUUACCCAGUUGCAG